UACGAAGGUGGCAAGCGUUGUUCGGAUUUACUGGGCGUAAAGGGAGCGUAGGUGGUUAGGUAAGCCCUCCGGGAAAUCUUCAGGCUUAACCUGAAAAGGUCGGGGGGGACUGCCUAGCUAGAGGGCGGGAGAGGAGCGCGGAAUUCCCGGUGUAGCGGUGAAAUGCGUAGAGAUCGGGAGGAACACCGAUGGCGAAGGCAGGUCUCUGGGCCGAUACUGACGCUGAGGUGCGAAAGCGUGGGGAGCAAACAGG
rnacentral:rRNA from 1 species